GCUUGUCUCAAAGAUUAAGCCACGCAUGUCUAAGUAUAAGCAAUUAUACGGCGAAACUGCGAAUGGCUCAUUAUAUAAGUUAUCGUUUAUUUGAUAGUACUUUACUGCUUGGAUAACCGUGGUAAUUCUAGAGCUAAUACAUGCUAAAAAUCCCGACUUCGGAAGGGAUGUAUUUAUUAGAUUAAAAACCAAUGCCCUUUGGGCUCCUUGGUGAGUCAUGAUAACUUCUCGAAUCGCAUGGCCUUGCGCCGGCGAUGGUUCAUUCAAAUUUCUUCCCUAUCAACUUUCGAUGUUUGGGUAUUGGCCAAACAUGGUCGCAACGGGUAACGGAGGGUUAGGGCUCGACCCCGGAGAAGGAGCCUGAGAAACGGCUACUACAUCCAAGGAAGGCAGCAGGC
rnacentral:rRNA from 1 species